UACGGAGGGUGCAAGCGUUAAUCGGAAUUACUGGGCGUAAAGCGCGCGUAGGCGGUCUUGUAAGUCGGAUGUGAAAUCCCCGGGCUCAACCUGGGAACUGCAUUCGAUACUGCUCGACUAGAGUAUGGAAGAGGGAAGGGGAAUUCCAGGUGUAGCGGUGAAAUGCGUAGAUAUCUGGAGGAACAUCAGUGGCGAAGGCGGCCCCUGGAUCAAUACUGACGCUGAGGUGCGAAAGCGUGGGGAGCAAACAGGAUUAGAAACCCGGGUAGU
rnacentral:rRNA from 1 species